UUUCUUAUAGAGCUGAUAGAGUUCCAGCCCUGGCAGAACAUUGGGCUGAAGAGCCUGUGGUCUGGAAAUGAGAGAGAUUCUGUGGUCCAGCUGGCAGAGGAGGAGGAAGAGGAAGAUGAGAAGGAAGACUUGGAGAGUCCAAAUCCAUCCACAGAGGAGUGUGCCUGGGAACCACAAAGGAACGUGGACCCUGGGAAGCAAGCCCCAACAUUCAGCCUCCUCCUGUGGUUACAGGAAGCAUUGCUGUGCAACCUCCUGAAGCACGUGGGGCUCAUUUACCAUGAUGUCUUCCACAUGCGUUUCAUAUCCUACCUGCUCCUGCCCUACACCUUGCCCAUUUAUACAAGUUUUUUGUUCAGUUACAGAUUGUUCCAGUUCCUGAGACUCCUCUCAGAAAUGGCCUUCUGGCAAGACGUAAAGCAGGUCUCCCUGUUCAUCACAAACAUCAUAAUGUCCAGCCUGAGGAAGAACAUGGAACACUGGUUCUUUCCUUCAUUCCUCUUGAGCCCUGGACAGAAGAUUCUGGCGAUGUACGACGGACCGACAGAAAUCGAGCCGGCACACCUGCUCUCCACCCUGCAGUUCCAUCUCUCCAGUCAUUCUGACAAACCCCAAACGGAGCCCCCAGUUUCAAGGAUGCUGCUCAGCCUAGAGCUGGAGGUGGACAGAAGGACUAGGGCUCCUGCCCUUGUGUGUGGACCCAACACGGAGAACUAGGGGAAGGGCACAUCUCCCUAAGUGUCACAUCUUUUAGUAGUUCUGAUGCAUUUAUUCAUUCAGCUUUUCUCUAACGUAACUUACAGCAUUAAGCUACUGACAACUGUUCACCCAUUUACUCAGAUGGGUAAUUUUACUAAAGCAAUUAAGGGUAAGUACUCUACUCAAGGGUACGACAGCAACAGGUGAGAUUCAAACCACCAGCUUUCAGAUACAAAUACAGCAGCUAUAACCACUGGACUAUCAGCUACCCCAGUAACAUAAUAAGUACCACAGAGUGUUGAUUAUUUGGCUUAAAUGGUAGUAUUUCAGAUAAACCACUAACUAAAGACAGAAAUAACAGAACCAUGCAGUGCUGUGAAGUACACUCCAUGAAAAGGUGUUUGUUUUUCAGCAUAUUUGAAUGUAAAAUGAGCUAUAUGUAUUUUUUAAAACUAUAACUGAAAGUGAAACAAUCAAACAAGAGUUUUCGCAUUGUCACAAAUCAAGACAUAAUCAGCGAAGGCAAAAAAAAAGAAGACACAUGGAAGUUUCUGUGUGAAAUAAGAUGUUUAGAGAGGGUGAAUGUUAGUCCUUGAUACACGCGCAAUGCACACAGUCCUAAGCUGUCCGGGUAUUUUACAAAAUAUGUGACAUACAAGACAGGAUAACUGAACACAAGAUAACUGGCGCUCUACUGUAAUAAUAGUAUUAAUACUACUAGUUAUAACACCAUACAUGUUACUGGGUGUACAUAAUAAUGACUUUCUGUGAAAUGUAAUCUACAUGUUUAAUUGGGGAAGGAAGGUGCUUGGAGAUGGUGGCAUGUUUCAUAAGUUAUGAAAUUAUUUCUGGAUGUACUGGUUAUACUUAGUGUGGCAGGGAUAAGUAGAGAGAAGGCAAAUGUAACGAGCUUAGACCACAUAUCUGUUAUUAACUGUUCCCAGCGCUGCUCUUUUAAUGGCAAAAGGGUGCCGAGCACAGACGAGGUGGUUAAAUGCACUUCUGAGAAUGGAAUUUG
ensembl:lncRNA